GAAAAUCUGGGAGGGGGCAGGGAAUCUGCCUGGGUUUGCUUGUCAGAUAAAUCCUUCCGGAUCACGGGGCUGCCACGGGAGUGGCUUCCACCCCACCAUCUCCUGUCCUGGGUGCUCUGGGGAGAUGAGUCUGGAUCCUACCUGGAUUCUGCCUCCAAGCUGGGGGAAGAAAGCUCCCAUGUUGUGAGGCAUAAAAAGGCCCACAUGUCAAAGAACUACAGCCUGCCAGCGACCACGUGACUGAGCUUGGAGGUGGAUCAUCCCUCAGGGAAGCCUUGAGAUGACAGCAGGCUGGGAGGGAUGCUCAGCCAGGACCAUGCAGCCAUGCUGCUCCAGCAUUCCUGAACCACAGAUGCUGUGAGAUGACAUUUUUUUCCCUCUACAUAUGUCAGCACUUCCCAGAUGUGAUGAUGGUAUUUGAAAGAGCAUGAUCUGGAAAUCCUGAGCCGUGCUGCCACAAGAAAAUGGAUGCACAGAGGACAAGGCCAGGCAGCGCAGGUCUUCAUUACACUGAGACUUUGCCUGAGUCCCAUGGUGCCCCAGUGCCCUGGCCUGGGCACAUCAGCACUGCCUUCUGUCCAGGCCCCAUGAGUCUCAGAUGGUGGACCCUGGUGACGGAAGGCUGGGUAGAUGCCAUGGACCUUUCCGUAGGUCAUAGCCACAGCUGAGCACUUGGUGUCUUACUACUCAGUGGAGAGGAGAAGUGUGCUGAAGGGUGGUAAGAGAGUGUGUCCAGGGGCCCAGACCAGAGUGGGCCAUGCCUCAUCUAGAGAGCAAGCAUCUUCCAGAAAGGAGAGCCCUUGGGUCUUUUUACAGAAGCAAUCAGAAAAACACCGGGAAUCUCCCAGAAGACUGAAUGUAAGAGGACGAAGGGUCCGGGCACAGUGGCUCAUUCCUGUAAUCCCAGAACUUUGGGAGGCUGAGGUGAGUGGAUCACUUGAGGUCAGGAGUUCAAGACCAGCCUGAACAACAUGGUGAAACCCCGUCUCUACUAAAAAUACAA